rnacentral:lncRNA from 1 species
ACGAUUUAAAUAGUGUUUGCAAAAAGAAUCAAAUUGAACAAAAAUUGCAUUCUUUAGGACAACAUUGAAUAGAAAAAAAAAUGAGAACCAAAACGAACGCACUUAAUGAAAAUAGGGACCAUCAGGAAUAUUAAGCCAUAAUAAAAUAAUAGUAUAUGAGAAAAGGAAGAGAGAAAAAUUAAAAAAAAUAAAAUAAAAAAUUAAGUUUGUGUGUUACGUAGAAAGAAGAAAUGAGAUAUGAACAUUUGAAUAGUGUGAGAGACCCAUCAUGAAUGUGAGAGAAAAAUUAAAUGAUUUAAAUCCUUUUUUGGUCCCUAAGUUAAGUUCUGAUGUUCAGUUUAGUCCCCGC